AGAGUUUGAUCAUGGCUCAGGAUGAACGCUAGCGGGAGGCUUAACACAUGCAAGUCGAGGGGUAACGGGCUGGAACUUCGGUUUCGGCGCUGACGACCGGCGAACGGGUGAGUAACGCGUAUGCAACCUGCCUUUUACAGAGGGAUAGCUUUCGGAAACGGAAAUUAAUACCUCAUAACACUGCUAAGUGGCAUCACUAUGCAGUAAAAACUACGGUGGUAAUAGAUGGGCAUGCGUAACAUUAGCUAGUUGGUGAGGUAAGGGCUCACCAAGGCGACGAUGUUUAGGGGACCUGAGAGGGUGAUCCCCCACACUGGUACUGAGACACGGACCAGACUCCUACGGGAGGCAGUAGUGAGGAAUAUUGGUCAAUGGACGGAAGUCUGAACCAGCCAUCCCGCGUGCAGGAAGACGGCCCUACGGGUUGUAAACUGCUUUUCUGAAGGAAGAAUAAUUUCGAGUUUCUCGAAAGAUGACGGUACUUCAGGAAUAAGCAUCGGCUAACUCCGUGCCAGCAGCCGCGGUAAUACGGAGGAUGCAAGCGUUAUCCGGAUUUAUUGGGUUUAAAGGGUGCGUAGGCGGGCUAAUAAGUCAGUGGUGAAAUCUUCCGGCUCAACCGGGAACCUGCCAUUGAUACUGUUAGUCUUGAGUUCGGCUGAGGUAGGCGGAAUGUGUAAUGUAGCGGUGAAAUGCUUAGAUAUUACACAGAACACCAAUUGCGUAGGCAGCUUACUAGACCGACACUGACGCUGAGGCACGAAAGCGUGGGGAGCGAACAGGAUUAGAUACCCUGGUAGUCCACGCCGUAAACUAUGAUUACUCGUUGUUGGCGAUACACAGUCAGCGACCAAGCGAAAGCGAUAAGUAAUCCACCUGGGGAGUACGCUCGCAAGAGUGAAACU
rnacentral:rRNA from 1 species